rnacentral:rRNA from 1 species
AUUGAACGCUGGCGGCAUGCCUUACACAUGCCAGUCGAACGGUAACGGGCCUUCGGGUGCCGACGAGUGGCGCACGGGUGAGUAAUACAUCGGAACGUGCCCGAUCGUGGGGGAUAACGAGGCGAAAGCUUUGCUAAUACCGCAUACGAUCUACGGAUGAAAGCAGGGGACCGCAAGGCCUUGCGCGGACGGAGCGGCCGAUGGCAGAUUAGGUAGUUGGUGGGAUAAAAGCUCACCAAGCCGACGAUCUGUAGCUGGUCUGAGGGGAUGAUCAGCCACACUGGGACUGAGACACGGCCCAGACUCCUACGGGAGGCAGCAGUGGGGAAUUUUGGACAAUGGGCGCAAGCCUGAUCCAGCCAUGCCGCGUGCAGGAUGAAGGCCUUCGGGUUGUAAACUGCUUUUGUACGGAACGAAAAGCCUUCUUUUAAUACAGGAGGGUCAUGACGGUACCGUAAGAAUAAGCACCGGCUAACUACGUG